UCGAGGAUCUUCGGCAAUGGGCGCAAGCCUGACCGAGCGACGCCGCGUGUGGGAUGAAGGCCUUCGGGUUGUAAACCACUGUCGAGGGGGAGGAAGCCGCAAGGUUGACCUAUCCCUGGAGGAAGCACGGGCUAAGUUCGUGCCAGCAGCCGCGGUAAGACGAACCGUGCGAACGUUGUUCGGAUUCACUGGGCUUAAAGGGCGCGUAGGCGGUACGCCAAGUCUGGGGUGAAAUCUUUCGGCUCAACCGGAAAAUUGCCUGAGAUACUGGCGUGCUCGAGGGAGGUAGGGGCAGCGGGAACUGCCGGUGGAGCGGUGAAAUGCGUUGAUAUCGGCAGGAACGCCGGUGGCGAAAGCGCGUUGCUGGACCUCUUCUGACGCUGAUGCGCGAAAGCUAGGGGAGCAAACGGGAUUAGAUACCCCCGUAGUCC
rnacentral:rRNA from 1 species